ensembl:misc_RNA 7SK 7SK RNA
AGAUGUAAGGGUGAUCUGGCUAUGACAUCUGUCACCCCAUUGAUUUCCAAUGUUGAUUUUGUUGAUCUGGCUGGAUAGGCAGGUGUCCCCUUCCUCCCUCAUCUCUCUAUGAGCGCCCCUCCUGAAGCUGUGCACUUGGUGGAAGAAGAUGACCUUCCCAGAUACAGGAGGACUAUUCUUCAUUCAAGGGUAUAGGAGUAGCUAUGCUGCCCUGCUAGAAAUUCCAGACAAGUUCUCAAGGAAACCUGAACAAUUUGGCUCUUUCUUUCCAUAUCUUUACCCAGGAGCUGGUUGACUAGAGAUCAAUAGUCAUUAUUUU